rnacentral:rRNA from 1 species
AGUGAACGCUGGCGGUAGGCCUAACACAUGCAAGUCGAACGGCAGCACAGUAAGAGCUUGCUCUUACGGGUGGCGAGUGGCGGACGGGUGAGGAAUACAUCGGAAUCUACUUUUUCGUGGGGGAUAACGUAGGGAAACUUACGCUAAUACCGCAUACGACCUACGGGUGAAAGCAGGGGAUCUUCGGACCUUGCGCGACUGAAUGAGCCGAUGUCGGAUUAGCUAGUUGGCGGGGUAAAGGCCCACCAAGGCGACGAUCCGUAGCUGGUCUGAGAGGAUGAUCAGCCACACUGGAACUGAGACACGGUCCAGACUCCUACGGGAGGCAGCAGUGGGGAAUAUUGGACAAUGGGCGCAAGCCUGAUCCAGCCAUACCGCGUGGGUGAAGAAGGCCUUCGGGUUGUAAAGCCCCUUUGUUGGGAAAGAAAAGCAGCAGGUUAAUACCCCGCUGUUCUGACGGUACCCAAAGAAUAAGCACCGGCUAACUUCGUG